CGGCAGGACAAGUCCGGCGGGAAAUUCCUGUGCUUAACAUAGGAGCGGCCGCCGGAAACUGUCCUGCUUGGGACCGGGAGACCCGGGGGGUGCUCCAGGGGUAGGAGUGAAAUCCUAAGAUCCUUGGAGAACCGCCUAUGGCGAAAGCACCCCGGGAGCCCGGAUCCGACGGUCAGGGACGAAAGCUAGGGGCGCGAACCGGAUUAGAUACCCGGGUAGUCCUAGCUGUCAACGAUGCCCGCUAGGUGUUGCGCUCUCCACGAGGGAGCGCAGCCGCCGAAGCAAAAGCGCAAGCGGGCCGCCUGGGAA
rnacentral:rRNA from 1 species